GUCUACGGCCAUACCACCCUGAACGCGCCCGAUCUCGUCUGAUCUCAGAAUCUAAGCAGGGUUGGCCCUCGUUAGUACUUGGAUGGGAGA
rnacentral:rRNA from 1 species